rnacentral:rRNA from 1 species
UCAAGCUGUAAAGGGCGCAAGGGGAAUGCCUUGGCACUGAGAGCCGACGAAGGACGCGACAAGCUGCGAUAAGCUACGGGGAGCCGCAAAUGGGCUUUGAUCCGUAGAUUUCCGAAUGGGGAAACCCGAUGGAGCAAUACUCCAUCAACCAUGACUGAAUACAUAGGUCAUGGUGGGGAACCGCCUGAACUGAAACAUCUAAGUAGGGCGAGGAAGAGAAAUCAACCGAGAUUCCGCUAGUAGUGGCGAGCGAACGCGGAAGAGGCCAAACCGGAGGUAGCAAUAUUUCCGGGGUUAGGACUGCAAUAUGUAACUUUAAUCUUUAACUGAAUGCUUUGGGAAGAGCAGCGAAACAGGGUGACAGCCCCGUAAGUGAAAGAGAUUGAGUGCUAGCAGUAUCCAGAGUACCAGCGGACACGUGAAACCCGCUGGGAAGAUGGGGGGACCAUCCUCCAAGCCUAAAUACUACUCAGUGACCGAUAGUGGAGCAGUACCGUGAGGGAAAGGUGAAAAGUACCCCGGGAGGGGAGUGAAAAAGAACCUGAAACCUUGUGCCUACAAGCACCGAGAGCACGUUAAAGUGUGAUCGGGUACUUUUUGUAGAACGGUCCGGCGAGUUAAUAUUUGCAGCGAGGUUAAGAUACUGGAGUAUCGGAGCCGUAGCGAGAGCGAGUCUGAAUAGGGCGUAUGAAGUUGCAGGUAUUAGACCCGAAACCGGGUGACCUAUCCAUGAGCAGGCUGAAGCGGUGGUAAGACACCGUGGAGGGCCGCACCCACGUCUGUUGAAAAAGCCGGGGAUGACUUGUGGAUAGCGGAGAAAUUCCAAUCGAACUCGGAGAUAGCUGGUUCUCCCCGAAAUAGCUUUAGGGCUAGCGUUAUUUUAGAUUACCGGAGGUAAAGCACUGAAUGGUCUAGGGGCCGCGAGGUUACCAAAGCCUAUCAAACUCUGAAUGCCGGAUAAUUGAUGAAUAGCAGUCAGACUGUGUGAGAUAAGUCUCAUAGUCAAAAGGGAAACAGCCCAGAUCUACAGCUAAGGUCCCAAAUGAACACUAAGUGGAAAAUGAUGUGAAACUGCGAAGACAACCAGGAUGUUGGCUUAGAAGCAGCCACUCAUUCAAAGAGUGCGUAAUAGCUCACUGGUCGAGUGGUUUUGCGCAGAAAAUGUAACGGGGCUAAGUGUUCAACCGAAGCUUAGGCAUUGCAGUAAUGCAUUGGGUAGGGGAGCGUCGUAUGCGGGGCGAAGUCAGAGCGGAAGCACUGGUGGACUGCAUACGAGUGAGAAUGCCGGAAUAAGUAGCGAGAAUUAUGUGAGAAUCAUAAUGGCCGAAAAUCUAAGGUUUCCUGGGGAAGGUUCGUCCGCCCAGGGUUAGUCGGGAGCUAAGCUCAGGCCGAAAGGCGUAGGCGAUGCACAUACGGUAGAAAUUCCGUAACCACCGAACUUUAAGCUAGAGGGACGCUUUCUUUAAGGUUAUCCCGGGCGAUGGUUGCCCCGGGCGCAAGGGACCGAAAUUUAGUAGGGAAGUAACUGGCGAGAGAGACGAGAAAAGCUCUAGUGUAUACUAAGGUGCCCGUACCGCAAACCGACACAGGUAGAAGGGAUGAGUAUUCUAAGGCCAACGGGAGAAGGGUUGUUAAGGAACUCGGCAAAUUGGCCCCGUAACUUCGGGAUAAGGGGCGCCUGCGAGAGCAGGCCGCAGUGAAAAGGCCCAAGCGACUGUUUAGCAAAAACACAGCUCUCUGCUAAAUCGAAAGAUGACGUAUAGGGGGUGACGCCUGCCCGGUGCUGGAAGGUUAAGGGGAGUGCUUAGCGCAAGCGAAGGUGCAAACUUAAGCCCCAGUAAACGGCGGCCGUAACUAUAACGGUCCUAAGGUAGCGAAAUUCCUUGUCAGGUAAGUUCUGACCCGCACGAAUGGCGUAACGAUUUGGGCACUGUCUCAACAGCCCGCCCGGCGAAAUUGUAGUACCGGUGAAGAUGCCGGUUUCCCGCAACUAGACGGAAAGACCCCAUGGAGCUUCACUGUAGCUUGAUAUUGGACUUCGGUAUUCCAUGUACAGGAUAGGUGGGAGGCUAGGAAGCGAGCGCGCCAGCGUUCGUGGAGCCA